CUGCUGCCUCCCGUAGGAGUUUGGGCCGUGUCUCAGUCCCAAUGUGGCCGUCCACCCUCUCAGGCCGGCUACUGAUCGUCGCCUUGGUGGGCCGUUACCCCGCCUACCAGCUAAUCAGACGCGAGGCCAUCUUCCAGCGAUAAAUCUUUGACAUGUCCGUGAUGCCACGGUCAUGUGUCAUGCGGUAUUAGCAGUCGUUUCCAACUGUUGUCCCCCUCUGGAAGGCAGGUUCCUCACGCGUUACU
rnacentral:rRNA from 1 species